UCUGGGCUCGAGCCUGCCUGGAGCCGCCGCCGGUGCAGAUCUUGGUGGUAGUAGCAAAUACUCCAGCGAGGCCCUGGAGGACUGAUGUGGAGAAGGGUUUCGUGUGAACAGCCGUUGCACACGAGUCAGUCGAUCCUAAGCCCUAGGAGAAAUCCGACGCCUACGGCGACGGGAUUUUGAAAAUUUUGAAAUCGACCCGUUGAUCGGGCGAAAGGGAAUCCGGUUCCUAUUCCGGAACCCGGCAGCGGAACCGCUGUUUGUCGGGCCCUCACAAGGGGUUCGUCAGGGUAACCUAAAAGGGCCCGGAGACGCCGUCGGGAGCCCCGGAAAGAGUUUUCUUUUCUGCAUGAGCGUUCGAGUUCCCUGGAAUCCUCUCGCAGGGAGAUAGGGUUUGGAACGCGAAGAGCACCGCAGUUGCGGCGGUGCCCGGGAAUUCCCGACGGACCUUGAAAAUCCGGGAGAGGGCCACGUGGAGGUGUCGCGCCGGCUCGUACCCAUAUCCGCAGCAGGUCUCCAAGGUGAAGAGCCUCUAGUCGAUAGAAUAAUGUAGGUAAGGGAAGUCGGCAAAUCGGAUCCGUAACUUCGGG
rnacentral:rRNA from 1 species